rnacentral:rRNA from 1 species
CCUACGGGCGGCAGCAGUGGGGAAUAUUGCGCAAUGGGCGAAAGCCUGACGCAGCGACGCCGCGUGAGGGAUGAAGGUCUUCGGAUCGUAAACCUCUGUCAGCAGGGAAGCACGGUCACUGUGCUAAUCAGCAGUGAAUUGACGGUACCUGCAAAGGAAGCACCGGCUAACUCCGUGCCAGCAGCCGCGGUAAUACGGAGGGUGCGAGCGUUAAUCGGAAUUACUGGGCGUAAAGCGGUCGUAGGCGGUAUGUCAAGUCAAGGGGUAAAUCCCCGCGCGCAACGUGGGAACUGCCUUUGAAACUGGCAAACUGGAGUGGGUGAGAGGAUAGUGGAAUUCCAGGUGUAGGAGUGAAAUCCAUAGAUAUCUGGAGGAACAUCAGUGGCGAAGGCGACUAUCUGGCACAUAACUGACGCUGAGGAGCGAAAGCGUGGGUAGCAAACAGGAUUAGAUACCCCAGUAGUC